rnacentral:lncRNA from 1 species
CUCUAAGAUUAUCUUACUUCCAAAGCAAAAAGGAGUGAUGACUGCAGUGAUUGGGCCACUGAAGGAGCCUGUCCAGAGAAACAAGAUCAAUUCUUGCCAAUGCCCAGACAGAUGGGGGUCCCUGUGUGAGGAAAGGAGCACUCAGUGUGGGUCCUGCUACCUCCUGAAUCCUUUUCCACCUUCUGUGGCACAUGCUAUUUUGCUGCUGAGGUUUCUUCUGGGCCUAUAUGACGUGCCAAUAAUUUUGAGCUUCCUUUGAAGUUAAGAGGAGGUCAUCUGACAACUUCUACUGAAUGAAUUCUGUGAAGAAAUGGCAUAUGUUAUGUAUGGGCCAAAGAAGUGUAGAACUGGUGUGCCUCUUCCAUCUUUCUUUUUCAACCAUGGCAACCUGGGAAUUCACAUAUUGAGAUGGCAGUUUCACCAGAUGGAGGAGGUUUGGAUCCCUGAGUCACCAGAUGGAGGCAAGCUCUGGCCAACUUGCAUUGGAGUUCAUACAAAAUGAUUGAAGAAAUGAAUUUCGCAGUACCACAUCUGCCACCUCCUGAUUUGUGCACUUCUUGCUGCCACCAUGUGAAGAAGGAUGUGUUUGUUACCCCUUCUGCUAUGAUU